GGUUACCUUGUUACGACUUGAUCCUGGCUCAGGAUGAACGCUAGCGGCAGGCCUAAUACAUGCAAGUCGAACGGUUGUCAGCAAUGGCAAUAGUGGCGCACGGGUGCGUAACGCGUAACCAACCUACCCGAAUCUGGGGGAUAGCCCGCCGAAAGGCGGAUUAAUACCGCAUAAAACUGCAGUCUGGCAUCAGGUAACAGUUAAAGAUUUAUUGGAUUCGGAUGGGGUUGCGUGCCAUUAGCUAGUUGGGGGGGUAACGGCCCACCAGGGCGACGAUGGCUAGGGGAGCUGAGAGGCUGGUCCCCCACACGGGCACUGAGAUACGGGCCCGACUCCUACGGGAGGCAGCAGUAGGGAAUAUUGGGCAAUGGUCGAGAGACUGACCCAGCCAUGCCGCGUGCAGGAUGAAGGCUUUCUGAGUCGUAAACUGCUUUUACCAGGGAAGAAAAAAGGGGAUGCGUCCUCUACUGACGGUACCUGGUGAAUAAGCACCGGCUAACUCCGUGCCAGCAGCCGCGGUAAUAACGGAGGGUGCAAGCGUUGUCCGGAUUUUAUUGGGUUUAAAGGGUGCGUAGGCGGCUGAUUAAGUCUGGGGUGGAAGACGGUCGCUCAACGAUUGCAGUGCCAUUGAUACUGGUAGACUUGAGUGAGAUUGAGGUAGCUGGAAUGGAUAGUGUAGCGGUGAAAUGCAUAGAUAUUAUCCAGAACACCAAUUGCGUAGGCAAGUUACUAAGUCUCAACUGACGCUGAGGCACGAAAGCGUGGGGAGCGAACCGGAUUAGAUACCCGGGUAGUCCACGCCGUAAACUAUGGAUACUAGCCGUUGGGGGUAUCGACCCCCCCAGUAGCGAAGCUAACGCGUUAAGUAUCCCGCCUGUGGAGUACGGUCGCAAGACUAAAACAUAAAGGAAUUGACGGGGAGCCGUACAAGCGGUGGAUUAUGUUCUUUUAAUUCGAUGAUAACCGAAGAACCUUACCAGGGAUUGACAUCCCAAGAAUUUUGUCGAAAGACGAGAGUGCUUUAUUGAACUUGGUGGCAGGUGAUGCAUGGCCGUCGUCAGCUCGUGUCGUGAGAUGUUUGGUUAAGUCCAUCAACGAGCGCAACCCUUGUGAUUAGUUGUAUUUUUCUAAUCAGACUGCCCCGGCAACGGGGAGGAAGGAGGGGAUGAUGUCUGGUCAGUAUUUCCCUUAUGCCCUGGGCUAGAAACGUAAUACAAUGGCCAGUACAAUGCGCAGCGAAGCCGCGAGGUGAAGCAAAUCGCAUCAAAGCUGGUCCCAGUUCGGAUUGGAGGCUGAAACUCGCCUCCAUGAAGUUGGAAUCGCUAGUAAUCGCAGAUCAGCAAGCUGCGGUGAAUACGUUCCCGGCUCUUGUACACACCGCCCGUCAAACCAUGAAAGUGACCAACACCCGAAGUCCGAUUCGUCGGCCUAAGGUGGGGGGCAUGAUUGGGGUUAAGUCUGAGCCAGGAUCAAACUCUACC
rnacentral:rRNA from 1 species